AGUGAACGCUGGCGGUAGGCCUAACACAUGCAAGUCGAACGGCAGCACAGUAAGAGCUUGCUCUUACGGGUGGCGAGUGGCGGACGGGUGAGGAAUACAUCGGAAUCUACUUUUUCGUGGGGGAUAACGUAGGGAAACUUACGCUAAUACCGCAUACGACCUACGGGUGAAAGCAGGGGAUCUUCGGACCUUGCGCGAUUGAAUGAGCCGAUGUCGGAUUAGCUAGUUGGCGGGGUAAAGGCCCACCAAGGCGACGAUACGUAGCUGGUCUGAGAGGAUGAAGAGCCACACUAGAACUGAGAAACGGUCCAGACUCCUACGGGAGGCAGCAGUGGGGAAUAUUGGACAAUGGGCGCAAGCCUGAUCCAGCCAUACCGCGUGAGUGAAGAAGGCCUUCGGGUUGUAAAGCCCUUUUGUUGGGAAAGAAAAGCAGCAGGUUAAUACCCCGCUGUUCUGACGGUACCCAAAGAAUAAGCACCGGCUAACUUCGUG
rnacentral:rRNA from 1 species